UAUGGCACUCUAAACUCUCACAUUUCUUUGUCAUAUCUGGACCUGCUUCUGAGGUUCUAUUGAAUGCAUUCAAGUAGCUUUAUAAACCUUUUAGGAUGUCUCUUUGGACCACAGAUAUUUAUAUUCCAUCAGACUAAGUAAUGACAGGGAACAGUUAAGGUAAAUCAAGGAAAGUGAGUCAAACUAAAGGGUAUUAAGGAAUCUUUGUAUGAUGGUUGAAGUUUCUGUUUAAAUUAUUUCCACAUUAAAAAAAACA